rnacentral:rRNA from 1 species
GACGAACGCUGGCGGCGUGCUUAACACAUGCAAGUCGAACGAAAAGGCCCUGCUUUUGUGGGGUGCUCGAGUGGCGAACGGGUGAGUAACACGUGAGUAACCUGCCCUUGACUUUGGGAUAACUUCAGGAAACUGGGGCUAAUACCGGAUAGGAGCUCCUGCUGCAUGGUGGGGGUUGGAAAGUUUCGGCGGUUGGGGAUGGACUCGCGGCUUAUCAGCUUGUUGGUGGGGUAGUGGCUUACCAAGGCUUUGACGGGUAGCCGGCCUGAGAGGGUGACCGGCGACAUUGGGACUGAGAUACGGCCCAGACGCCUACGGGAGGCAGCAGUGGGGAAUAUUGCACAAUGGGCGGAAGCCUGAGGCAGCAACGCCGCGUGCGGGAUGACGGCCUUCGGGGUGUAAACCGCUUUCGCCUGUGACGAAGCGUGAGUGACGGUAAUGGGUAAAGAAGCACCGGCUAACUACGUG